UACGUAGGGACCAAGCGUCGUUCGGAUUUACUGGGCGUAAAGGGCGCGUAGGCGGCGCGGUAAGUCACUUGUGAAAUCUCUGAGCUUAACUCAGAACGGCCAAGUGAUACUGCAGUGCUAGAGUGUGGAAGGGGCAAUCGGAAUUCUUGGUGUAGCGGUGAAAUGCGUAGAUAUCAAGAGGAACACCUGAGGUGAAGACGGGUUGCUGGGCCAACACUGACGCUGAUGCGCGAAAGCCAGGGGAGCAAACGGG
rnacentral:rRNA from 1 species